AAACUUAAAGGAAUUGACGGGGACCCGCACAAGCAGCGGAGCGUGUGGUUUAAUUCGUUGCUACACGAAGAACCUUACCUGGGUUUGACAUAUAGGUUGUAGGGAACUGAAAGGGACGACCCUUCGGGGAGCCUAUACAGGUGUUGCAUGGCUGUCGUCAGCUCGUGUCGUGAGAUGUUCGGUUAAGUCCGCUAACGAGCGCAACCCUCGUCGUAUGUUAUAUGUGUCAUACGAGACUGCCGGUAAAAGCCGGAGGAAGGUGAGGAUGAUGUCAAGUCAGCAUGACCUUUAUAUCCAGGGCUACACACACGCUACAAUGGUCUGUACAAUGGGUAGCCAAGCCGCGAGGCGGAGCCAAUCCUGAAAGCAGGCCUCAGUUCAGAUUGCAGUCUGCAACUCGACUGCAUGAAGCCGGAGUUGCUAGUAACCGCAGGUCAGCAAUACUGCGGUGAAUACGUUCCCGGGUCUU
rnacentral:rRNA from 1 species